GACGAACGCUGGCGGCACGCCUAACACAUGCAAGUCGAGCGGGAUCUUGUGGAAUGAGUCUUCGGACAAGUGAAGCAAGUGAGAGCGGCGGACGGGUGAGUAACGCGUGAGUAACCUGCCCUAUACAGGGGGAUAGCCAUUGGAAACGGUGAUUAAUACCCCAUAAGACCACGCCAUCGCAUGAUGAAGUGGUAAAAACUGAGGUAGUAUAGGAUGGACUCGCGUCUGAUUAGCUAGUUGGUGAGGUAACGGCUCACCAAGGCGACGAUCAGUAACCGGCCUGAGAGGGUGAACGGUCACACUGGAACUGAGACACGGUCCAGACUCCUACGGGAGGCAGCAGUGGGGAAUAUUGCACAAUGGGGGAAACCCUGAUGCAGCGAUGCCGCGUGAACGAAGAAGGCUUUCGAGUCGUAAAGUUCUGUUCUUAGGGAAGAAAAUGACGGUACCUAAGGAGAAAGCACCGGCUAAAUACGUGCCAGCAGCCGCCGCGG
rnacentral:rRNA from 1 species